UACGAAGGGGGCUAGCGUUGCUCGGAAUGACUGGGCGUAAAGGGCGCGUAGGCGGCUUGCACCGUCAGAUGUGAAAUUCCUGGGCUUAACCUGGGGGGCUGCAUUUGAUACGUGUGGGCUUGAGUGCGGAAGAGGGUCGUGGGAAUUCCCCAGUGUAGAGGUGAAAUUCGUAGAUAUUGGGGAAGAACACCGGUGGCGAAGGCGGCGACCUGGUCCGUGACUGACGCUG
rnacentral:rRNA from 1 species